GAUGAAGAACGUAGCGAAAUGCGAUAAGUAGUGUGAAUUGCAGAAUUCAGUGAAUCAUCGAAUCUUUGAACGCACAUUGCGCCCCUUGGUAUUCCAUGGGGCAUGCCUGUUCGAGCGUCAUUUGUACCUUCAAGCUUUGCUUGGUGUUGGGUGUUUGUCUCGCCUUUGCGUGUAGACUCGCCUUAAAAUAAUUGGCAGCCGGCGUAUUGAUUCCGGAGCGCAGUACAUCUCGCGCUUUGCACUCAUAACGACAGCGUCCAAAAGUACAUUUUACACUCUUGACCUCGGAUCAGGUAGGGAUACCCGCUGAACUUAAGCAUAUCAAUAAGCGGAGGA
rnacentral:misc_RNA from 1 species